rnacentral:rRNA from 1 species
UACGAAGGGGGCUAGCGUUGCUCGGAAUCACUGGGCGUAAAGGGUGCGUAGGCGGGUCUUUAAGUCAGGGGUGAAAUCCUGGAGCUCAACUCCAGAACUGCCUUUGAUACUGAAGAUCUUGAGUUCGGGAGAGGUGAGUGGAACUGCGAGUGUAGAGGUGAAAUUCGUAGAUAUUCGCAAGAACACCAGUGGCGAAGGCGGCUCACUGGCCCGAUACUGACGCUGAGGCGCGAAGGCCAGGGGAGCAAACGGG